ACUUUGCCUGUUUGCAAAGGAUUAAAAAAAUAGUGAAGAAUUAAGAAUUUCUUUCCAACUUUUCAGUAUCAUCUCGAUCAAGAUUAUUCCAACAGAGAUCAAAGAAUAAUUUUUUAAUUUUUUAUAGUAUCUAGAAAAAUUUUUCCCCGUACAAAUAAAAAGUUUUGCUGUCAAUUUUACCAUCGAAAUGAAAAUUGGGAACGAAGUUAAAUUAUAAUAAAAAUUCUCCAUAUUUCGGUAUUUGUGCUACCAGUAUACGAUAAAAUAAACGAGGAGAACAGUUAAGUCAAGAUUAAAGAGUCAGUUAAAUUUUGUUUUAACUUGAGAAUUCGAACUAAAUAGUUCAGGAGUUUUAAGUCAGUGGUGGCAAUACUUAUAUGAAAUAGUGAAACAAGCUAUACAGCAAAAGAUAAGUAAAGUUUAGAUGUUGUAAAAGGUUUUAUUUUUCGAUACAGGAGAUAAAUGAACGAUAACGCAAUAAGUGAGAUUCGCCAAUAGGUAUUGGGAAGGAAAAAUAACUUUUUAGCCAACCUUAUAUAAAUUUCGAAUUUCUCAUCUAUACCUUCUAACAUUCAUAAAGAAGAAAAUUUAUCGUAUACAAAAGGAAAAUGAAGGAAAUUAAAAAAAUAGACGAAAAAAACAAGAACUUUAAGGAUAAUACACAAAAAUAUUUUAAUGCUUGUACUUAGCAUCUUUCUCAAUCAAUUAGAAAAUCUACCAUUUGGCUGGACUGGUGGUUAUUAUUUUCUUUGCGCAAUUUAUUAUUAUUUAUGCACACAAUCAUGCAUAUUGUGUUCACUUAAAAAAGUAUUCAAAGGGUGUUAUAAUAAUAUGUAAUCAUGCAGUUACUAUUUAAUAUUGUUUUUAGAUAGAAAAAAUAAUAAUUUUAAUAUCUAAAGUUAUUCACAUAUAUUUACCCCUUUUAUCAAUUUUACGAGUAUAACGACAGAAGUUCGUUUAUUGGAGCAUGAUACCAACAUUACAUGUGUUUUUUUACAAACCCAACCUGGUAUCAAUUGGCUGCCGAUUUAUACUUAACGGGAAUUGCAAACUGCGUUUUAUUUACAAAAUUUGAAACUGGCUGAGAAUUUCUUGCUGUGAAACAUU